ACAGGAUGCAGGGCAGGUGGGUUCAGUUUGAUUUCAAAGCCGAUUGCCCGCGCCUCAGGUGCUUUGGUGUACCCUAUAAGGAUUGCAUAGGCCAGGCAGCCUAGGCUCUGCGGGUGAAGAUUUCUCUACCUCCCAGUGACUCCUCUUCUCCCUUAUCAGCUCUGAUAGGAGAGAGGAAGAGGGAAGAGGACGUCAAAAGUUCUGUUCAUCCGGAAGGGCUGGGAGUUACUUCCUGGGAUGGGGAGCUCGUGAGCCAAUCCAGAAGACGACCACGGGGUCUGGCGGGAGCCCCAACGCUGCCCUGAAGACUCGGCCGGGAGGGGGCGCUGUGGCCUCCCCACCCCCAGCCCGCAGGCUCCUAGCCGGGUUCGCCGCGCUGCAACGCAAUCCGCACCUGGCUUUACCCAGGGCUGCGUUCAGUGCCCACUUGUCCUGCAGGGCACCGCCGUCUCCCUUUCAUCUUGGGGCUCCCGGGUCCAAAAGGUUCCCAGAUCCAGCCCCUUGCCUGAACCAAAGUGGGCAGGCACUCAGAUUGUAAGAUGAACGAAUGAACGAAGGAACGAACUAAUGAAUAAGGGCUCAUCCUGCAGAACGUUCGCGUCUCAGCGCGCACUAGGCACGUCAAUGCCAAAGGUGCUGGGAGUCGGGCUCGGAGCCCGGCGCGGCUGGAGUGGGGGCGGCGAGGAGCUCCCGCUAGCCAGCUGCAGGGCGGGAACUGCCCAAACGCAGGUCGCAGCUUCCCCGGGUUCUGCGGCGGCUUCGCUCAGUGGGGACCGCCCUGUUCCACCGCCACCAAUAGCCUCGCCCUCAUAAAUUCACCUGAGCACCCCCGCCCAAGUGCCCCCGGCUCCCCUGGACUUCCCAGGCCCGGACCUCUGCCCGGCGGGAGGUAGGAGGCUGCAUCCUCUCCUGCCACCCCCUCGCCCAUCCCGGGCUUCUCCCCGGGCUGCGGCGGCCGCCACCGCCGCAAGCACGCCCGGAGGACUGCCGCAAACCCGGGCGUAGGGAAAGGGGAUCCUGGCGGCGGGGCGCAGGCGGCGGGCCAGGGGAAGAGGAGGGAGCGGGGAAGGAGCCGAGGGGCGAGGGGCAGGGAGGGAGCCGAGGGGCGAGGCGCGGAGGAGGGACCGAAGGGGAGGAGAGAGGAGGGGAGGGGAGAGGGAGAGGGAGAGGGGGGGGGGGGGGGGGGGGGAGAGGGGGGGGAGGGGACAAGCUGGGCGAGGGGGCGGGGAGCCAAGGCGAGGAGCCGCGCGGACCUUGCGGGAGGCGGCAGGGGCUAGGCUGGCAAGAAGCGGCCUCCCGCCGGGCUGAGUCGGGAAACGGCGGCCAGACUUCCCCGGGAAGGGGCGAGCGAGAGCCGGCCGGGCCGGGCUGCGGGGACGGGGAGCGCGGAACCGGGCGCCUCCUCACGGGGCAGCCACCGAGGAGUCCGGCCGCCCACCGCGUGCUGCCCGAGCCCGCAGCAGCCCGCCGGCCCCUCUGGGAUGCCUGGGGGACCCGGGCGUUCAGGACAGUAACCGAGCGAGCCGGAGGAUGGGACGGCACCCGCAGCUCCGGCUUGUCAAGGUACAGAGACGUUUCUGAAGGGGUGAUUGCACAGAUGCUUUAUUUCUGCAAACCAUAUCCAGGCUCCACCUGA
rnacentral:lncRNA from 13 species